UAUAGGGGAUAGAGCAUAGGCCUGAGAAUGAGAAGGAUUUGAGUUCUAAUCUGUUCUACUGCUGGUGUACUGUGUGAGCUCAGAGGUUACCUGAUGAGGACUAUCUAUCUGCCAUUUGGAUUGAGGUCAAUUUUGAGACCUGGCCUGCCCUGUCAUGGAGGUGGAGCUGUGGGCUUCAAACCUACAAAGAGAAGACUCCAGGAGCACCAACAGUUCUUCUUCUUUCCAGCUUUCAUGCCACAGAGGGAAGCUGGUGUGAAUCAGGUACUAGAACCAUGUCCUAGCAGUGGCUGUCCAGUGUAUUUCCCAGCUUUGAGGACCAUCCCUCUCCUAUUUGGAACAAUCAUGUUAAAUCUCAGACCUGCCCUGCUGUUGAUGGAGCCAUGGGCUGUACUGCUACAU